UGUGCGUCUGCAUCUCACAACGUGUUGCUUGUGUUAACGCUUGCUUGUGUGUGUGCUCGAGUGCAUCCAACAGUAUAUGCCAGUGUGGAUGUGUGUUUGUGUACGCAUGUGAACGUGUAUACGUGUUGCCAUGUUAGAAUGUGCAGCGUUGUCAUGUUUGUUACAUUCCAUGUGGGAGGGUCUGCUGAGAGGCAGGCCAUCUGUAGUGUUCUGAAGAUCGACAUGUUGUAAAAUGCGAUUGGAGAGUGUGGAGACUCAACUUGUCAAAUCUUGGCACAUAAUGAGGCAGAAGGGAGUGAAGGCAGGAAAAAGAUUCAGAGAUAAACAAUUAGAUUAAUCCCAGCGGUAAAGGGCACAGACAAUGGGAGGACUCAAAGAAAAAACAAAAUCAAUAUGGCAACUGCUGAGGACACAAUGGAGUACAGUGAGGAAGGGACUAACACUUAUUUCUCAGAUGAAAAGACAUACAGACACAUGGCGGAGGAGUCACGACUUGUUCGAAUCAAUACCGGUGUCAGCACCGGAUGCACUACCACCUAUUCCUCACACGUUUUUCAUCAGAGAAGCCGCCAGACGUUACAGAAUAUACGGUAACAUUGCAUACCACAAAAGCACAUCCCAAAAAGCCCAAACAAAGACAUGGGGAUAAUGAAGUAAAUUAGGGGCCGCAAUCGCCUCCAGCUACAGCCAACUGAUGAUCUUUUAGGAGGAGAGACAUUGGGGACCGUAAUGCUUUCACACCCCCUGAGUCCAAACAUAAUGGAGCAUGAUCUGCAGCCACAGUCUGGGCCGUCCCAGCGCGCCGCCGCCCCUCUCAGGCCCUGCCCAGACUCGCAGGUCUGAACCGACAUCUCAGGCGCCAUAUCCCGGCAAAUCUCACAGGGCUGCCCGUGCCAGGGCGCCGGGGCCCGACUGAAGCCGGGAUGUCCUAUGUGCUAGAGGGAAAGGGGGGUGGAUAGGCUGAGUGAGUGAGUGGCGCUGGCCCCGGUUUACCCCACAGGGACGCAGAAAGGCGUUGACCAGAAAGGUGUGAGUCGGCAACGCAGCACCCCGCCCAUUGUCAUGUCUCCAAGGAGGCUGGUACACCGUCGAGUCAUCGGCAGGGUUCCAGCGAAAAUACAUGAGGAAGCCAGGAGUGCCGGGGACCUGUAUGGACUAUCGGCCCAGUCCCAGGGAGAGAAGGGCCACAGCUCCACUGACCUCCAGCAACCUGUCAGUCUGUCAUCCCCGCCUGGGGAAUUAAGAGGGGAGGGAAGAGAUGGGGGUAAAAAAAAGAACAUGUAUUCUUGCUUGUUUUUUUUAGGACCGAUGCACACUAUCUUUACCUGCGGGAAUGAGAUGACUGGAGAAAAAUCUGCCAAAGGAAGAACUUGUUAACAUAUGUUGCGUUAUAAAUUAACAUAAAUGUUUAUUGCAGGAAUGCUUUUUGCUUUUCUUAAUUAUUGCUAUUUUUUAAAUGCAACAUGCAUAAUAUAAUGUGUUGCUUAUUAAAGGUAUUAUUUCACUUGUCUGGUUCCCUUUUUUAAAGAACCAAAAAUGUUAAAUAAAAAUUAAAUAAACGUAAGCAUAUGUUUUGGUUGGGAUAAAAUUCCAAAAUAUUUUGUAAAUCUAACAAGAAAUUACUACUUGCUCAACAUAAUCUCUUCUUUAAACAAAACAUUGUCAUUAAAAUUGCAGGAUGCUAAAUAGUAAUUAAAUAAAUACAAAUUAUAUUUUUUGUUGACUCUUUACCUGUUAAGUAUAUAAUAAAAAUAAGCUUCAUUGAAUCUGUGUAUUUUACACAAGCUGCUGCAGUAUUGAUUGAAAAUUUUCUAUUGUCAAAGACAAAGAACGUUUGGUGUGAGUUCCACCGCAUUUGGUUGCUUUCCCAAGGGACUCUAACGAUUCUGUUUCCCUUCUUUUUUUUCUCUAUUUCUCUUUCUCACCCUCUCUCUUUCUUUCAGCCAAAGAGAAAGAAGAGAUAUAAAGGGUGUGGUGUUGCCUCUUUAUGUUGAGAGCAGCAAACGUGAUGACUCCCAGACGGGGAGACAUGGCAAACCCUAAUAAUACCAACCCAUACAAUGGCUCUGACAGCCCGGCUAUAAAGCAAUCAGGGUCCCAGGCAUUCCAAAUCUCUUUAACGCCCACCCUACAGCAGUCUGGAAGAUGGGUGGCUGACCUGAGAGCUGUCAAUCACGCUGCUGUACCUGCUGGAGCUUGGGCAGAGUAGAGCCGGGAGCAUGCGGUCCAUCAGAUCUGUUUUCACACUCCCCACACUAUCACUGCAAGCGUAACCAAAAAGACAAAAAACGCCCCACUGCCCUACUCUUAAUUAGGGAGUGUGGAUAAGACUGAGGUUUGUUUGGUUUUAAAUGGAGAAUGGGAGGGCAAAACAUACAGGGGAGCGCCGAAUCCCAUGGAGACAGAGAAUAACCUUUUCCCUUGAUUUUGGAAUAAGGCAUUGAUUUGUCAUGCUGUUUUAUACAGGCGAGAGCUCUCCCAGUGGUGCGCUACAAGCUUGGAAGGAGGCAAAGAGACAUCUAUGCAGAGAAAAGGAGAAAUGUUAAGGGUCUUCUCAUCUGAAACUCAACUGGCUGAAAAGCUUCUCGGCUACUUUUCUUUUUUCACCCAUCUACCUUUCGACCAAAGCAGGUCCCUAGCGGUGUCUCUCACAUGCUGUACGUCUGAUCAUGUGCAGCUGGAUGGAAGGUUCCACAUGUACUUGGCCUCACCCUGAGGAACUGCGGGUCGGGGUGUCAAGGUGCAGCAGACCAUCCAAUGCUUCACGACUCGUUCUGGCCUGUUUGGAAGCCGAGCUGUGCUGAUCUAAGAGUUUCAUCCAAAUUAUGUAUUUCCCAUGUGUGUGCUAUAGCACAUAAACUCAGUGUUUUUAGGGGGCUGGUGCGAUGUGUUUUCCAGGCCUUUGUGCACUGUGCAUAGAUAAAGUAUAUGGUUUUUGGUAGGAAUUAAAACAGACUACCAAACUAUUUAAUUAAAAAAGUUUAUAACCAAAACAAUAUACACUACUGUUCAAAAGUUUGGAGUUGGUAAGAUUGUUUUUUGAAAUAAGUCACAUUUAAUAUUGAGAAACUGCAUUAUGAAUUAAAAAAAACUUAUUAAUAUAUUUUAGAUUUAUUAUUAUUAUUAUUAUUCAUGUAAUGGCAAAGCUGCUGCUGCUUAAUGUUUUUGUGGGAAACAUUGAUAUAUUUUUUCAGGAUACUUUAAUGAAUAGAAAAUUCAAACAGCAGUUUAUUUAUUUUUUAA
ensembl:lncRNA